GUUUUAAUAAUUUAAUAAUAAUAAAAUAUUGGUCUUGUAAACCAAAAAUAAGAAAAACUUUUAAAACU
rnacentral:tRNA from 1 species